CGCGGCCUAUCAGCUUGUUGGUGGGGUAGUGGCUUACCAAGGCUUUGACGGGUAGCCGGCCUGAGAGGGUGACCGGCCACAUUGGGACUGAGAUACGGCCCAGACUCCUACGGGAGGCAGCAGUGGGGAAUAUUGCACAAUGGGCGGAAGCCUGAUGCAGCAACGCCGCGUGCGGGAUGACGGCCUUCGGGUUGUAAACCGCUUUCGCCUGUGACGAAGCGUGAGUGACGGUAAUGGGUAAAGAAGCACCGGCUAACUACGUGCCAGCAGCCGCGGUGAUACGUAGGGUGCGAGCGUUGUCCGGAUUUAUUGGGCGUAAAGGGCUCGUAGGUGGUUGAUCGCGUCGGAAGUGUAAUCUUGGGGCUUAACCCUGAGCGUGCUUUCGAUACGGGUUGACUUGAGGAAGGUAGGGGAGAAUGGAAUUCCUGGUGGAGCGGUGGAAUGCGCAGAUAUCAGGAGGAACACCAGUGGCGAAGGCGGUUCUCUGGGCCUUUCCUGACGCUGAGGAGCGAAAGCGUGGGGAGCGAACAGGCUUAGAUACCCUGGUAGUCCACGCUGUAAACGGUGGGUACUAGGUGUGGGGUCCAUUCCACGGGUUCCGUGCCGUAGCUAACGCUUUAGGUACCCCGCCUGGGGAGUACGG
rnacentral:rRNA from 1 species